AGCGGGGGCCGGGUAAACCCCUUCCCUGCCGGGUGACCCUGGGGGAGCCGUGGCAGGACUGCGGGGCUGGUGCUCUCUGGGUGGAUCGAGUUUUGCUUUGGAAUUCCAAACCCUUUCCCUGUGCAGGGUUACGAGGCCAAGACUGCUUUAGCUUGGUUUUUUUUUGGUGCUGCAUUAAUGCUUUUUGCUGGUUCUGUGUCAAUUUGCAGCCUGGCUCGUGGUUUCCCCUGGUGCUGGGGAGUGGAGGCGAGUUGUGCUUCCUGCCGGGAGAGAGAAGGGCCUUGGGAAGCUGCUCCAUGAGCCACAGCUGUGCCGAGCCCGGGAGUCUGUCCAGCAGGAUGUGGAGUGCCACCAUGUCCCCGAGGUCACCCUUUCUGCUGUUGGGAGAGCACGAGGUGGAUGGAGAGGAUCCACAGGCAUCUGCAGGCAAAAGGGGCUGGCACAACUGCGAUUUUUCUCCAGCUGUCUUAAGGUGGACUUUCAGGGUACCAUGGGUAAUGUGCCAGCUCUCCUGCUGGAGUUUUUGUCUUCUGCUAUAUUUGAACAUCAAGAGUAAAACUA